AAGAAAGAGAGGUCAGUCAGAGGAGAGAAGAAAAAGAAGAACAAAUGAAAUAUGUCUUUAUUUAUCUUUUGACUUGUUUUUUUAUAAUAAUACACACACUUUUACCUUCCAACACACUUUAAAAUCUCUCAUCAUCCAAAAACCGGAACACCAUGAACCCGAA
rnacentral:ribozyme from 13 species